GGCAGGAUAUCUCAGUUGGUUAGAGAAGUCGGCUCAUAUUCGAAAGGUCGUGGGUUCGAGUCCCACUCCUGCUA
rnacentral:tRNA from 1 species